UACGUAGGGUGCAAGCGUUACUCGGAAUUACUGGGCGUAAAGCGUGCGCAGGCGGUUAUGUAAGACAGAUGUGAAAUCCCCGGGCUCAACCUGGGAACUGCAUUUGUGACUGCAUCGCUGGAGUACGGCAGAGGGGGAUGGAAUUCCGCGUGUAGCAGUGAAAUGCGUAGAUAUGCGGAGGAACACCGAUGGCGAAGGCAAUCCCCUGGGCCUGUACUGACGCUCAUGCACGAAAGCGUGGGGAGCAAACAGG
rnacentral:rRNA from 1 species